GGCUGGGGUGAUUGAUCCUGAUUACCAAGCGGAAAUUGGACUGUUACUCCACAGUGAAGGUAAGGAAGAAUGUGUCUGGGAUACAGGAGAUCCCUUAGGACAUCUCUUAGUAUUACCUUGCCUAGUGAUUAAGGUCAAUGGAAAACUACAACAACCCAACCCAGGCAGGACUACCAAUAGCCCAGAUCCUUCAGGAAUGAAGGCUUGGUUCAACCCAUUGGAUAAAAACACCAUGAUCCACUGAGGUGCUUGCUGAAGGCGAAGGGAAUACAGAAUGGAUAGUGGAAGAAGCACUAAUAUAGACACUACCUAGAGUCUCUGGCAAGUUGUAAUAGAAGAACCACAGUGUAGACCCCAAGUUUCUGGAGCAGCCAUCUACGGCUGAUGGCUACAUCUACAGCAUUCGCAAAGCAGCUUCUGAUCUGCUACUGGAUCUGGUAUGCAUAUUCUGUCCUUCCUGCAGUUCCUCAGCAUUUCUGCUAUCCAAGAGCUCACAGAGUAUCUGAUUUAUUGACGUGAGAUCCGGCGUGACAUUUCUUUGAGCCAAGGGACCUACCUUACAGCAAAGGAGGUGUAGCAAAGGAAAUGACCAUGGUACCCCCUCCUACCACAUCCUACAUCAUCCGUCACCCAAAGCUGCGGCCUGAUAAAACUUUGGAAUCAUCUCUUAUAAGUAUGACUAAGGCACCAGCUUUGAAAUGAUACCCUCUAAGUAUAGGUCUCUGCCUUUCAGGAUGCAGUGUAUACUUUGUAAUAGUUAAUUUUAAUGUGUCAGUUUGUCUAGGCCAUGCUUCCAGAUAUUUAGUCAAAUAUGAUUCUGAAUUUUUCUGUGAGAAUGUUUUUGGAUGAGAUUAAAAUUUA